AAUACAUGACGAUUCCCAGGUUUGCAAUUCUUUUGAACAAGCAGAAAUUGCUUCAAUCAUAACUGAUCUUGUUUUCUCCAUGCAUGACUUAUUGCAACUGCCACUACUAAAAAUAAUCAUAUGUCUCAAUGUACUCAUAUUCCCAAAAAAAAAAAAAAAAAAAAUUGGCAAAUGCACCUUAUUUGAUUGCAACUUUAAUGUUAUGAGACACUUAAGAUUCCGUAGUAAUAAUGGUGAGACAUCUUCAACCACAUCAU